ensembl:lncRNA
GGGCCUCACACACACCUGGGUCCUCUCCUCUCCCCGACACAGCCUCACACACACCUGGGUCCUCUCCUGAACCAACACAGCCUCACACACACCUGGGUCUUCUCCUCUCCCCGAGGGCCUCACACACAUCUGGGGCCUCUCCCCGAGGGGCCUCACCUGAUCCCAUCACCCCUCAGACUCAGGGCUGCAGUUGGGACAUCUGUCCUGUAGGGGGCGCCUCGCUACACGUCCUGCGCUCCUUCCUCUUCCUCUUACGGGGACUGGAUAGCUCCUUCCUCUUCCUCUUACGGGGACUGGAUAGCUCCUUCCUCUUCCUCUUACGGGGACUGGAUAGCUCCUUCCUCUUCCGGGGACUGGAUAGCUCCUUCCUCUUCCUCUUACGGGGACUGGAUAGCUCCUUCCUCUUCCUCCUACGGGGACUGGAUAGCUCCUUCCUCUUCCUCUUACGGGGACUGGAUAGCUCCUUCCUCUUCCUCUUACAGGGACUGGAUAGCUCCUUCCUCUUACGGGGACUGGAUAGCUCCUUCCUCUUCCUCUUACGGGGACUGGAUAGCUCCUUCCUCUUCCUCUUACGGGGACUGGAUAGCUCCUUCCUCUUCCUCCUACGGGGACUGGAUAGCUCCUUCCUCUUCCUCUUACGGGGACUGGAUAGCUCCUUCCUCUUACGGGGACCGGAUAGCUCCUUCCUCUUCCUCUUACGGGGACUGGAUAGCUCCUUCCUCUUACGGGGACUGGAUAGCUCCUUCCUCUUCCUCUUACGGGGACUGGAUAGCUCCUUCCUCUUCCUCCUACGGGGACUGGAUAGCUCCUUCCUCUUCCUCCUACGGGGACUGGAUGGUCUCCAUUUUAAUGUUCAACUUUUUUUUCAAGGCAGCUUUGGUGUACAAAGAACUAUAGAACUCUGGGUAGUGACCAUUCUAACGUUACACUUCCUGCUUGUGGCUUUUUCGACUCUAGGAACUAUGAGUAGCUCCUAGGAACACGCAAUACUUUUGUAGGUGGCUUUCGUGUACAGGACAACACACACACACACACACACAGGAUAAAACCAAGUGUGUGAGCGCAGGUGUGGAGACGGGGCUGUCUGUUUGAAUGGCCCUUUGAUGAACUGUCGGGGUCCAGGGGACUGUUAGAGCGGGGGGGGGGGGGGUCAUAUAGAGCUGGUUGUCUAGUGCAUCUCUUCUUCCUCACCACUGUGGAGCGAGGGGGGGUUGGGGGGGCAAUAGAGCUGUGGAGCGGGGGGGGGGGGGAGAACCAGUGAGGUUUGCACGUCAUGAAAUGAGAUUUUUUUUUUUUUUUUUUUUUUCCUUCCCUGUAUCUUCAUUGUUUAUUUUCUCCCCCCUUUUAAGAGAAUGCAGAAAGAUGUUUAUUUUUUGCUUUUGUUUAAUUUAAUUUUUUUUUACGUUUUAUUUAUGUUUUUUGUUUUAUUGCUUUCAAUGUUUUAUAUUUUAUUUUUGUGCAGCAGAGCACAAAUUUUUUUUAGACUUUAAAAGUUUUAUUUUCCACUAAUGUUCUUUUUAUUUUAAAGAAUUUGUUUUGUUUUCGUUGUUUUAUAGCGGACCUUAUUCUUUAGCAGCGGGGGAAGGGGGGGCCCUCGGCUCGGCUUGGCACGGAACCUUGACAGAAGGGAUCGCCACCCAGACAGACAUAUUUCAGUUUCUGCUUUCUGUUUAAUUCCACCUCAAGUCUGAGAGACGCAUCCUGUGUUUUUCUUUUUCCCUCAACUGUGGUGCAAGUUCCAUGUAAACUUGUGUAUGAAACUUAGCAUUUCUAUUUUACUUCUGUAAUUGGGGAAUUAAAGGUUUUCUACCAAGCAGGAAAUACAUACAUCUUGACUGGUUUUUAUUGUGUGUGUGUGUGUGUGUGUUGAGGAUAUAAUUUCAGGUUGUAUGCCACCACAAUUACAGAUGUAUUUAUUUAUGUUUCAUUGUGAGAAUUAUU